ACGGUCCGGGCGGUGAGCACUGCGGCCGCGUCCCUGCCCCGGCGCCGUCCGUGCCCGCGGGACCUGACAGCCGGGGCAGAGCGCAUGGGCAGGCCCUGGACAACCCCGCUCCUCCUCCCACUCUCCUGGGGACGCGAGACCCGGCCGCGGGGGGCAGGGCGGGGGGUCCAGGCCCUGUGGGCGCUAUGGGAGCGGCCAGGGUCCCCAGCCGCGAGGCAGCCACCGGGGAGACUCGAGAUGUGUGGACCCCAGGAGGUCUGGAGCCGCCAGGUGACCCUGAGCGCCCCUCCCCGGGGAGGGCCCGUGCCGCCCGCAGCGCCGCCUCGCUCCUCCUUUUGCCUUUGCUUGGGGAGGGAAAGCCCGGGACUUCCUUGCCUGGGGUGAGGCGGCCCCCACUGGCGCGGCGGACGCUAGUGAGAAGCGGUGUCAACUAAAGAAAAGACUCGCAGUGAAAACAACUGGGUUACCUUUCCUCGGAAGUCUUCCUGAGGACGGCACAGCAGGCCGGCCGCUCCUUCCAGACUCAGCGCCGGCCUGCGCAAUCUCGCCCGGGUUUGGGUGGAGAGCGCAGACGGCUUUGAUGCCAGUCUUUCCUCUUCUGAGGAAGCUGUGACCCGGGCAGGAGACGGCCCGUGCUGGUCCUGCGCUGCGUCCUGGAGCAUCCUCAGAGCGGCUGUGCACACAGCCAGGGGCCGGGACCAGGCGUCCUCCUAGCCUUUUGCUUGGCCUCACAGCUGCUGAGACGGCAAGAAUGGUGACCGUUGCUUCAGAGUCCUUUGGUUCAGAAUAACUCAUCUCAUUGACAGUGUGGUUUUUAGGAAUUGGUUGUGUUCACUGAGGAGUUGUGGCAAAGUGAGGAAAACCUAACCCAUCCUUAGUUCCCAAAUGUGAGUGUUUUAAACUAUGUAACAGCUAACGAAACUGACAAAUUGAUACAGCUUAUGGAGAUUGAAUUUUGAUUCUGCCAUGUCCUCAUUUUA